rnacentral:rRNA from 1 species
UACAGAGGUCCCAAGCGUUGUUCGGAUUCACUGGGCGUAAAGGGUGCGUAGGUGGUCCGUUAAGUCAGUUGUGAAAUCCCCGGGCUCAACCCGGGAACUGCUUCUGAUACUGGCGGACUUGAGGCCAGUAGGGGUCACUAGAACUGACGGUGGAGCGGUGAAAUGCGCAGAUAUCAGGAGGAACACCGAUGGCGAAGGCAGCUCGCUGGGACGGUACUGACGCUGAGGCGCGAAAGCGUGGGGAGCAAACAGG